CCGCGCGCAGGGCUUCCAAGCCCGAGGCCAGGCUGGAUAACGGGACCCGGAGGCCGAAAGCGGAGCUGGCCGACCUGGGAGGAACUCUGUGACAGGGAAUAAAACUUGCGACUAGCUCUUUUGGAAGUUCAGCCUGUGAUCGCACUGAGUUCUACAGUGUCUACUCAAGAAGUGUGAGGACCAGCUAGCUACCAUGCCCAGGAGAGGUUUGAC
rnacentral:lncRNA from 1 species